AGUCCCUUGGGGAUCCAGUGCUUCUAUUUAUGUUUAUGGUUAUGUAGGCAGAGCUCUCCAGCUACAGGACCACAGGAAGAAAUCACACAGAGGAAUUCCAGGCCUCCCUGUAGCACAUGACCAGUUAUAGCAGAUUGCUCAAGGCUCUGCUAUCAGAGUCAGGAUCCAGGAUUCUUCAGAAACAGACAGCAAGUAGCGAGCCUACAGCUAGAGGCUGCUGGGGGAACUCUGGGCACAGUCUGUCAGGACAGAUCAAUGGCCUCGAUUCAGGUGACGGUAUCUGCCACCAAGCCCAGUGGCCUGUUUGAAGCCUGAUAACCCCAGCUUGAUUCUUGGAACUCACACCAUAAAAGGAGAGAACCCAGUCCCCAAUGUUACAUGCACCGUGGCACGCAUGUAUCCCUGUAUAAAUUUAAUAAAAAUGUUGAGUACUUCUCAGUC